UAGGAAGGUUCGGCAGAGGACCCGCACUCUAUGUUUCUUAUUGUAACUUCUGAGUAAAACAAACAAAUAAAUCAAAACUUUCAACAACGGAUCUCUUGGUUCUGGCAUCGAUGAAGAACGCAGCAAAAUGCGAUAAGUAAUGUGAAUUGCAGAAUUCAGUGAAUCAUCGAAUCUUUGAACGCACAUUGCGCCCGCUGGUAUUCCGGCGGGCAUGCCUGUUCGAGCGUCAUUUCAACCCUCAAGCCCCCGGGUUUGGUGUUGGGGAUCGGCUCUGCCUCACGGCGGUGCCGCCCCCGAAAUACAUUGGCGGUCUCGCUGCAGCCUCCAUUGCGUAGUAGCUAACACCUCGCAACUGGAACGCGGCGCGGCCAUGCCGUAAAACCCCAACUUCUGAAUGUUGACCUCGGAUCAGGUAGGAAUACCCGCUGAACUUAAGCAUAUCAAUAAGCCGGAGGAAAA
rnacentral:rRNA from 1 species